AUGGGAACUGUAGGUGGGAACGGUCAGGUUCUUCACAGGGAAGGUUUUCAGUGUAACACAGUCUGGAUCUGAACAGAUAAGAGAUGUGUAAUGUUUAGUUUGAUCAGCAGAUGUUUGAGAGCUUUCCUCUCAUCUGCAGGAGUCCUGAUCAUCCUGAAGAUCAUCGAGAAACAUCAAUCAUGGACUGAUCGCUGAGAAUAGGCCUAACUGAGUUUUGUGAUUUCCUGGGCCACCCUGCAGAUGAGUGUCGCUGAUAGCUGAAGGAAGGCGCAGUCGCAGGUGUUUCUGAGAGUCUGGUGCCCUCAUGACUUCAGCGCUGGAGAAUCCAAACAGAACCGUGACACACAACCCGCCAACAUCCCUCAUGAACAUCAGCACACACCUUUAAUCACGCUCAUAAACGAAUGAAAGGGAUCGUUCAUAAAGAUGCACGCAGACAGAACGAUAGACACUUUCAAGUCCUGGGAAGUUUGUGAAGUCGUACUAAUUAUGAUAUCAGAUGUGUAUACAGUAAAUGCAGUGUACUUUUUCUACAAAACAUCAGCAAGAUCAUUUCAAAAUCAUGAUUGUGGAUGUGCAUCAGGUGUGUGUUUGCUUUAUGUUUUUAUUCAAAUUAUGAAGAAAUUAUGAAAAUCGUAAUUG